GAUGAACGCUGGCGGCGUGCCUAAUACAUGCAAGUCGAGCGAACGGACGCGAAGCUUGCUUCCCUGAUGUUAGCGGCGGACGGGUGAGUAACACGUGGAUAACCUACCUAUAAGACUGGGAUAACUUCGGGAAACCGUAGCUAAUACCGGAUAAUAUUUUGAACCGCAUGGUUCAAAAGUGAAAGACGGUCUUGCUGUCACUUAUAGAUGGAUCCGCGCUGCAUUAGCUAGUUGGUAAGGUAACGGCUUACCAAGGCAACGAUGCAUAGCCGACCUGAGAGGGUGAUCGGCCACACUGGAACCGAGACACGGUCCAGACUCCUACGGGAGGCAGCAGUAGGGAAUCUUCCGCAAUGGGCGAAAGCCUGACGGAGCAACGCCGCGUGAGUGAUGAAGGUCUUCGGAUCGUAAAACUCUGUUAUUAGGGAAGAACAUAUGUGUAAGUAACUGUGCACAUCUUGACGGUACCUAAUCAGAAAGCCACGGCUAACUACGUG
rnacentral:rRNA from 1 species